AAUAGGCCUUUCCUGGGAACACUCUGCUGCUUGUUCCUUUCCGGAUUAUCGAGCUGAUUUCAACAGGCCUCGUGCCUCGCUACCUGGGGUUGGGUUUGUGAUUGUCCUUGUGUCGAUUUUAUACAUGUGACAAGUGAUUUCCACUGAUGACUGAACAGUCUGGAGUGCAAAUGCCUGCCUGGAGCUGGUUCUAAAAUGCCAUUUUGUAUGCAAUGAUGGUACAUUUAAUUAAAUAACCACUGUGAGCACUAACCAAUCUGGAGUGCAAAUUCUGCCUGAAAACCAAUUGGAAAAUGACAUUUUCUACGUGGGAUGGUACCUUUGAAUGAACAGAUACUUCAGCAAUAUUUUAAGCAAACUUGCUUCUUUAAAAAUAUCAGUGUUGUGAGAGCACUCGUGCUGCAUUUGAUGCUGCUCAGUUCUUGGUGUUGGUGCUGCAGCACUGUAUAAACACAGAAGCAAAACCACUCUCCAAGCUAAUGAGUGACAACUUGUGCCCUAAAGAUGGGUGAGCAGCAAAAAUAAAUCUACCCAAGAGUCCUCCCAGAGAUCCUGACACCCCUACUUGCAUUUCAGUGAGUGACCUGCUGGUUUGAAGUGCUGCAGUGAACCCUGAGAGAAGGCAGGGUGUGAGCUGAAAAUCAGAAAUGUGUGAUCCAAGAAGAUUCUGGUUGUAAACAGAAUGAGUGAGGAAGGAAGAUCCCUUUUGUUCCUUGCUGAUAAAUCUGAUUGAGAGAGUCCUACCAGUGAGGCACCAAGGCCCAAAAUCUCCAAGGGAUGACUGCUUUUCUGUGACCAUCCUGGUAUGUCCAGCAAGAAAUCCCCAGUGUUGGUAAAUCUGCUGACCUGCCCAGAAGAGAAACAGGUGAAGGUCUGUCAGAGCCACAUCUGAGAAGCUGUAGAGACACCUGAGAGCUGAUGAGAACCAGUUUGAAAUGGGACAGAUACAAAACAUGAAGCACUGAAAUGUUCUGGUGGUACUUGAGGGUUCUGACUCUGCACUUGCUCCUGCACUCACAUAAUGCUUUCCUUUCCCUGAAGUAUUCCCAAAAUGGAUCAGACUCCUUUAAAUAAGUGCUAUUGUCCAGUCUUUCCAUGCAUAAAGCCUUUUCCUUAAUGUACAAAUAUGUCAGUCCAAAAUAUAACAAGAAAUAAAAUGUGCUUAAGCACAGUGCCCAGUAUAAACACAGCUGCUGAAAUAUUUUGAAGCUCAUUUGUGAUUAAAUUAUUAAACCAAUUUUUGAUUUUGUUUCAUAGCAAAUAAAAAUAUUAUCAUAAACAGGAAAUUUUGGCUUUCCCUCAGUUGUUGACAGCAUGGAUCCCAUGGAGUUUAAGGUCACAAAGUACUCUGCUGCAGCUCUUUACAGCCUCUGGUCGCUGGGAGCAGGUUUAUGAGGGCUGAGUGAGGAGCAGGGGUGUUCUGGUGUCCAGGGAAUGUGCUCAAACCCUCAGGCAGAGCUGGGGUUGGUACAGAAUAUUCUCACCUCAUCAUCACUGUCACACAUUUUUUGCUCUCUGGUUUAGAGCAUUUCAUAUAUUAAGAUCAGAAAUCCCACAAUACCUAUGACUGAUAUGAUUUAUUUACUUUGCAGAUGUUGCAGGGGUGAAACAAACAAUCAAAUGACAGAAAGUUUGCUCUUGGCCACAUGUCUUGUUGUGACAGUUGCCAAAUGUUGUUGAAGCCAGAGCCAUUCUGGGGAUUAACUCCGGCCAUUCUGCUCUGAAGUGAGCUGAUAAGAUGGGUGGGAUAACCCUGCAUGCAUAGUUUGGAGCUGCAGACAUUUCCCCCUCUGAAUUCCUUGUCCAAGAUAAAGAGGAAGAGACCUCCCAUCUGGAUUAAUUAUUGAUAAAGGCAGAUGCUGAAAAUAGUGAUAAAGUGCCAGUGAUGCAGACAGGCAAGGAACUUAUUCCCUUCCUUGUAUCCAAAAGCAAAUUUCAGGGAUGAUCAGGUGUACUCCCCUGGGAAGGGGCUCUCUCUCAAUCUCUGUGACAUAUUUACCUGGAUGUAGAUCCAGCUUUUUUUCUUGUUUCCUCUCAGCCGAUUUCCUUUUGCUUAUCCCAAACUGAGGAUCAGUGGGACAGAGAGGUGCAGGAGUCUCACUGAGCCUCCCUCAUCCCCAGCACCCCCACACUUCAAUGCUGUUUGAUUUUUGGGGAGCAGGAGGACAAGAGAAUCCUCCAAAAAUCAUUUGCUCAUUCCAGUGCAGAAGUGGAAUAGUCUGGGCAUCUUGGAGCUGUUUGUGAUCUCUGAAAAGACUUCCCCAGCCUCUCUUUGCUCCCUACAAUAAAUUGUGUGCACCUUUUGGACUGGGUCUGUCUUGAUGCUCCCCCUGGUCAGCUCAUCUCUACAAAACUUGGCUGAAGCUGUCACUGGGUGUUUCAGGCUUUGGCCAAGCUGAAAGAAUAUAAGGUACAUAGAAGAAUAAUGUAUUGAAGAGCUUUCUCCACUUUCCCUUUGCUUCCACAUAAAUCCUUAAUAUCAGAGAGGCCUCCUAGUACAGAGCUCCAGCUGAGCCCAUCCUCAUUAAGGAAAAGUCCCUCUCCUUUGAGGAACCAUUGCAUUAAAUAUGAUUUUUUAAAAAGUACAAUGUAGCUGUGUUUACAGCAGAUAAGAUUUUUUUCUCCAUGUUUUUGUUUAACAAAAGCUCAGGAGCAAAAGUAUCUGUGUGGAACACGAGCAUCAUGCCCAGGUCACUGUAAUUGAUAUUUACUGCACUAACAGUAAUCUGCAGCAAAAAAAUCCCUGCUUAGCUGGCUGUGUGUGCUCAUUCCUUUGUCCAGGGUAUUCUCUGGGGUAACUGAAUGCAUUAGUAUUUCCUCUGAAAAUUAAUGUUGUGGCAGAUAAAGAAAGCAUGCACAUAUACAUAAAUCUCUUGUUUUCUGUCUGGGCAAAAGGCUAAAGAAACAGGGUGUGUCUGGAUAGAUUUUGUUCAGUGUUCUGUAGUUUUCUCCCUUUUUAGAAUGUCUCAUUCAAAUGUCAGUUCAUUCUUCUCUAUUUCCUGCCCUUACCCAACAAGACUUGUAGACCAGGCUUAAUUAACUUUAAGACCUUUUAUGUCCACCCCUAAGGAGUUACAGUCCUUUCCUGGAACACUUCCAUUGUAUUAUCUCCAUGUGUUGUGAGAUGAUGCAAAUGAUAUUAUUACUGCUCUUGUGAAUUUACAAUGAGUCUUUCAAUAGUUUUAGUUACAACUUAGCUCUUGUCAGGAAAAUUCCAUCUUUAAGUCAAAAUAAAACUAGGGGAGCAAAUUUCCAGUUUAAUGUGCUGAUAAAGGAAAGCUGGAGAGCCUGGAAAUACAAACUUCAGACACAGAGAAGCUUAAAAAGAUGAGGAAAGCUGUUGUAAGUUGUAUGACUCUUCAGUGUGGAUUUGUUUCUAUGUGGGAGUGGUUGUGAUUUAACAAAGAUAUUUCUUAAACUGAGGUGGAACUUUUUCUUCUCUUCAGAGGCUGUGUGAGUGGAACAUUUAUUUUUGCCACAGCUCACGUUUUAAUCCCAGCCACUGAAAACCCCUUCUGGUGUGAAUAAACCCUUUCUCUUCAUCUGCAGAAGCUGCAGGUCAGUCUGUAUUUGGCAGGUGAUGCAGCUCAUCAUUCCACAGAAGGGAAAUGAGAAAUACAUUCCACAGAGAAAUGUGUCCCUUUCUUCCUGUUUGGGACUGAAGUCACAUCCAAGCACAACUCAUUCAGUUCUAUUCUAAAUUCAGUAUUCUAAUCUGGCAGUGCUCUAGUCCUAAACUUUUACCAAAGCUGCUGCUGCAAAUCCAGGGUACAGAGUGAAGAUGUUUGUUAAAUGGUGCUGCAGAGGCUGGAGCUCUGUGAUUGUUCUGUCCUUGUCGAGUUCACAUCUCUGUCUUUGUAAAAUGAACCCACUGCAAAAAGCAUUCCAGCUCUCCUGCUCUCUGCCCUCACCUCUUAAUCUGUGUCUGGAGUGGAGUGCACUGACUAUCUGAAUGAUCUAAAAUGUGCAAUCAUUGUUUAUGCUUUAAUGACAGCCUAAACCCCUAAAUGAACAGCACUGAACAAACAGCCAAUACACACUAAUUCAUUGCAGCUUUGGGUUCCCAGAGGAGGUUUUGAGAACUCUGAUACAUUAUUAUUAAUCUUGAUUGCUUGGCCUAAUCUUAAUACAGAAUCACAGAAUUGUUAAAGCUGGAAAAGGCCUUUAAGACCAUCAAGUCAUGAGUAAACUGUUUGUCUUGCAGACAGACCAUUUAUAUCUGAAAGAUAAAGGCAGCAAAAGCCAUAAAGACAAUUCAAAUCUCUUCUGAAUUCAGGUCUAGGGCUGGAGGUAGAGGGAGGGACAAUCCUACAAAUAGAAUAGAGAAGCCAACCUAAAGCUCUGUGCCAGUGGGGAUUCUGCUGAUGGAGCUGAGCCCAUCACAGGAACCAUUCCCAUCAAUGGCAGGAUUUCCUAUCAUUUGCAGGACAGCAGCUCCAGGCGCUUGGUCUCCUCAAGCCAAAUGCUGUAAGGCAGGCUCUGUGCUCCUCAAGGAUUCCCAGAGCACAGAUUCACAGCAGAUAGCAUCAUUAAAGGAAGGGGAAAAGGAAGACUGGUGCUACCAGAGCAUUGCUUAGAAAUGUGGACAAAGGCAGGAGAAGGAAUUCGAGUGUAUCCUCCAGACAGGAGGUGGAAGUGGAAUUUCCCUUCCCACUGUCAUGCACAAUGAGGCCAAGUGUGUUCUGUGUACCCAUCUUGAGUCUGCUGGCUGAGCUCUGCCAGGUGCCAGGGACACCACUCCAGGUGUUUCUGCUGGGUCUGGAGAGAUGAGGAUGCAGAGAAAUGGUGACUUCAGUGGGGACAAAGCCAGAUGUGUCACUGCUGCUUUGUGGCUUUUGAACAGGAUUGUAACAGAAACAGAGGCCUCUGUAGCCCCAGAUUGGGGCAGGGGAUCCUGGGGAAAUUGGACAGGAACAGAAGGGUUUGAUGACAGCUGGGACAAUAAAAGUGACCUCUUUGAGUUUCAAAAAUGAAUUUAUUUUAAAACAUUUUUGCCCUUUUGUCUACCUCUAACUAUUAUGGUGCUCUGUAAGUCCCUGCAUUUCAGGUAGCAAUGCCAGGGCAAGAAGAACACUCUUUUCUCUCUGCUGCUCUUUGGGAAGGUAUCUGUGAAAUUUCCCUAGUUUGUCCAGGUAACCAUGCUUACCUUUCCCUAAAA